rnacentral:rRNA from 1 species
UACGGAGGGUGCGAGCGUUAAUCGGAAUUACUGGGGCGUAAAAGCGCACGCAGGCGGUUUGUUAAGCAAGAUGUGAAAGCCCCCGGGGCUCAACCUGGGGAACUGCAUUUUUGAACUGGCAGACUAGAUCUUGGAGAGGGGGGGUGGAAUUCCAGGUGUAGCGGUGAAAUGCGUAGAGAUCUGGAGGAACAUCAGUGGCGAAGGCGGCCCCCUGGCCAAAGCACUGACGCUCAUGUGCGAAAGUGUGGGUAGCGGAACAGGAUUAGAUACCCCUGUAGUCC